AGUAACACGCGGGUAACCUGCCUCAUAGAGGGGAAUAGCCUUUCGAAAGGAAGAUUAAUACCGCAUAAGAUUGUAGUACCGCAUGGUACAGCAAUUAAAGGAGUAAUCCGCUAUGAGAUGGACCCGCGUCGCAUUAGCUAGUUGGUGAGGUAACGGCUCACCAAGGCGACGAUGCGUAGCCGACCUGAGAGGGUGAUCGGCCACAUUGGGACUGAGACACGGCCCAGACUCCUACGGGAGGCAGCAUG
rnacentral:rRNA from 1 species